UACAGAGGGGGGCAAGCGUUGUUCGGAAUUACUGGGCGUAAAGGGCGCGUAGGCGGCCUUCUAAGUCGAACGUGAAAUCCCCGGGCUCAACCCGGGAACUGCGUCCGAAACUGGCAGGCUUGAAUUCGGGAGAGGGAUGCGGAAUUCCAGGUGUAGCGGUGAAAUGCGUAGAUAUCUGGAGGAACAUCGGUGGCGAAGGCGGCAUCCUGGACCGAUAUUGACGCUGAGGCGCGAAAGCCAGGGGAGCAAACGGG
rnacentral:rRNA from 1 species